rnacentral:tRNA from 1 species
UCCGUGGUGGUCCAGUGGUUAAGACCCUGUGCUUUCACUGCAAGGGGUUCGGGUUCAAUCCCUGAUCAGGGAA